UACGUAGGGUGCGAGCGUUAAUCGGAAUUACUGGGCGUAAAGGGCGCGUAGGCGGCUUGAUAAGGUUGCGGUGAAAGCCCGGGGCUCAACCCCGGGUCGGCCGUGGCAACUGUCGAGCUGGAGCACUGUAGAGGCAGGUGGAAUUCCGGGUGUAGCGGUGGAAUGCGUAGAGAUCCGGAAGAACACCGGUGGCGAAGGCGGCCUGCUGGGCAGUGGCUGACGCUGAGGCGCGACAGCGUGGGGAGCAAACGGG
rnacentral:rRNA from 1 species